rnacentral:rRNA from 1 species
UACGAAGGGGGCUAGCGUUGCUCGGAAUCACUGGGCGUAAAGGGUGCGUAGGCGGCUUGUUAAGUCAGGGGUGAAAUCCUGGAGCUCAACUCCAGAACUGCCUUUGAUACUGGCGAGCUUGAGUUCGGGAGAGGUGAGUGGAACUGCGAGUGUAGAGGUGAAAUUCGUAGAUAUUCGCAAGAACACCAGUGGCGAAGGCGGCUCACUGGCCCGAUACUGACGCUGAGGUGCGAAAGCGUGGGGAGCAA